rnacentral:rRNA from 1 species
CUACGGGUGGCUGCAGUGGGGAAUAUUGCACAAUGGGCGCAAGCCUGAUGCAGCCAUGCCGCGUGUAUGAAGAAGGCCUUCGGGUUGUAAAGUACUUUCAGCGGGGAGGAAGGGAGUAAAGUUAAUACCUUUGCUCAUUGACGUUACCCGCAGAAGAAGCACCGGCUAACUCCGUGCCAGCGAGCCGCGGUAAUACGGAGGGUGCAAGCGUUAAUCGGAAUUACUGGGCGUAAAGCGCACGCAGGCGGUUUGUUAAGUCAGAUGUGAAAUCCCCGGGCUCAACCUGGGAACUGCAUCUGAUACUGGCAGGCUUGGGUCUCGUAGAGGGGGGUAGAAUUCCGGGUGUGGGGGUGAAAUGCGUGGAGUUCGGAGGGAAAACCGGUGGCGAGGGCGGCCCCCUGGCCGAAGACUGACGCUAAGGUGCGAAAGCGUGGGAAGCAACCAGGUUAGAUACCCUCGUAGUC